rnacentral:rRNA from 1 species
UACGGGGGGGGCAAGCGUUGUUCGGAAUUACUGGGCGUAAAGGGUUCGUAGGUGGCCAACUAAGUCAGACGUGAAAUCCCUCAGCUUAACUGGGGAACUGCGUCUGAUACUGGAUGGCUUGGAUUCGGGAGAGGAAUGCGGAAUUCCAGGUGUAGCGGUGAAAUGCGUAGAUAUCUGGAGGAACACCGGUGGCGAAGGCGGCAUUCUGGACCGAUAUUGACGCUGAGGAGCGAAAGCCAGGGGAGCAAAGCGGG